rnacentral:misc_RNA from 1 species
GAAAGUACAUUAUCUUCAAGUAACUCCUUACACAUACUCCCGCUAAUCGCCAGAAACCGAACUCCUUAAAAGGUCUACGCCGAUGGAGUUCUGGAGCCAGCCGCAUCAACUUUGUCG